rnacentral:miRNA from 1 species
CAGCAGGUCAGCAGGAGGUGAGGGGAGAAGGAUCCACCCUGUCCUGUCCUGUCCUCUCCUGCCCUGUUCUGGCUCCAGCCCCUCCC